rnacentral:rRNA from 1 species
UGGGGAAUAUUGCACAAUGGGCGAAAGCCUGAUGCAGCAACGCCGCGUGAGUGAUGAAGGCCUUCGGGUUGUAAAGCUCUGUCUUUUGGGACGAUAAUGACGGUACCAAAGGAGGAAGCCACGGCUAACUACGUGCCAGCAGCCGCGGUAAUACGUAGGUGGCAAGCGUUGUCCGGAUUUACUGGGCGUAAAGGAUGCGUAGGCGGAUUUUUAAGUGAGAUGUGAAAUACCCGGGCUUAACUUGGUGCUGCAUUUCAAACUGGGAAUCUAGAGUGCGGGAGAGGAGAAUGGAAUUCCUAGUGUAGCGGUGAAAUGCGUAGAGAUUAGGAAGAACACCAGUGGCGAAGGCGAUUCUCUGGACCGUAACUGACGCUGAGGCAUGAAAGCGUGGGUAGCAAACAGGAUUAGAUACCCUGGUAGUCCACGCCGUAAACGAUGAGUACUAGGUGUAGGAGGUAUCGACCCCUUCUGUGCCGCAGUUAACACAAUCAAGUACUCCGCCUGGGAAGUACGAUCGCAAGAUUAAAACUCAAAUGAAUUGACGGGGUC